rnacentral:tRNA from 1 species
AGGUGUUUAGCUUAUAAACAAAGCGUUUACUUUGAAAGUAAAAUAAAGAUUAAAUAUUUAAUACCUU